AUUGAACGCUGGCGGCAGGCUUAACACAUGCAAGUCGAACGAUGAUUAUCUAGCUUGCUAGAUAUGAUUAGUGGCGGACGGGUGAGUAACAUUUAGGAAUCUGCCUAGUAGUGGGGGAUAGCUCGGGGAAACUCGAAUUAAUACCGCAUACGACCUACGGGUGAAAGGGGGCGCAAGCUCUUGCUAUUAGAUGAGCCUAAAUCAGAUUAGCUAGUUGGUGGGGUAAAGGCCCACCAAGGCGACGAUCUGUAACUGGUCUGAGAGGAUGAUCAGUCACACCGGAACUGAGACACGGUCCGGGCUCCUACGGGAGGCAGCAGUGGGGAAUAUUGGACAAUGGGGGCAACCCUGAUCCAGCCAUGCCGCGUGUGUGAAGAAGGCCUUUUGGUUGUAAAGCACUUUAAGCAGGGAGGAGAGGCUAAUGGUUAAUACCCAUUAGAUUAGACGUUACCUGCAGAAUAAGCACCGGCUAACUCUGUGCCAGCAGCCGCGGUAAUACAGAGGGUGCGAGCGUUAAUCGGAAUUACUGGGCGUAAAGCGAGUGUAGGUGGCUCAUUAAGUCACAUGUGAAAUCCCCGGGCUUAACCUGGGAACUGCAUGUGAUACUGGUGGUGCUAGAAUAUGUGAGAGGGAAGUAGAAUUCCAGGUGUAGCGGUGAAAUGCGUAGAGAUCUGGAGGAAUACCGAUGGCGAAGGCAGCUUCCUGGCAUAAUAUUGACACUGAGAUUCGAAAGCGUGGGUAGCAAACAGGAUUAGAUACCCUGGUAGUCCACGCCGUAAACGAUGUCUACUAGCCGUUGGGGUCCUUGAGACUUUAGUGGCGCAGUUAACGCGAUAAGUAGACCGCCUGGGGAGUACGGCCGCAAGGUUAAAACUCAAAUGAAUUGACGGGGGCCCGCACAAGCGGUGGAGCAUGUGGUUUAAUUCGAUGCAACGCGAAGAACCUUACCUGGUCUUGACAUAGUGAGAAUCCUGCAGAGAUGCGGGAGUGCCCUCGGGAAUUCACAUACAGGUGCUGCAUGGCUGUCGUCAGCUCGUGUCGUGAGAUGUUGGGUUAAGUCCCGCAACGAGCGCAACCCUUUUCCUUGUUUGCCAGCGGGUUAAGCCGGGAACUUUAAGGAUACUGCCAGUGACAAACUGGAGGAAGGCGGGGACGACGUCAAGUCAUCAUGGCCCUUACGACCAGGGCUACACACGUGCUACAAUGGUAGGUACAGAGGGUUGCUACACAGCGAUGUGAUGCUAAUCUCAAAAAGCCUAUCGUAGUCCGGAUUGGAGUCUGCAACUCGACUCCAUGAAGUCGGAAUCGCUAGUAAUCGCAGAUCAGAAUGCUGCGGUGAAUACGUUCCCGGGCCU
rnacentral:rRNA from 1 species